UUGUGUGAUGGCUGAAAUUAAGCGGUAAAUUGUAAAUUUAUUUAUGAGAACUAUCUCUUGCAUAAU
rnacentral:tRNA from 1 species